GGUCUUUAUCUUUCACUUUAUUUUUAUCCAAAAGCACAACUAAAGCAAACGCCACCGCUCCACGGAGGCCGCCAUAUGACAUCACCACUUGGUCGAUGAUCCCGAGCGGGACGAUGCGGUAAUAGUUCAGCAUCCAGGCUUGUGAUGAGGAUAAAAUGGAAGAAAGGAGGAGAGGAGGACGCUGUCAGCUGCUAUCGGGUCCUCAUUGGGUAGAAAGGUGUGAGUAUAAAUGAAGUUGGAUCCAACCAGUUUUUCCACCGGUGAAAAAGGCAGGAGGGAAUUUUCUCGUUCACCAUCAAAACAGUUAUGCUGGGGAUCAUGAGAUCCACACAAGGCAAAGGCCAGAGGUUGUAAUGAGGACGGGAAUCGAGUGAGACGGAACAAAAACGCUGGCUGGAUCCAUCUUGGUGUCUCCCCACCCAUCAAAAGUAUUAGCCAGCUUAGUAUAAUUAGGUUUCCUUCAAAAAAUAAAAGGUUUCAAUUGUGAGGAUCCGCCCACAGCAAAAAAGACAUGGGGCUCUAAUCCACAAAAUCUUACAAUGGAUUAAAGUUUGCUAUUCUUUAAGGCGUGGUGAGACUCCUGUUGAGUUCUGCCACAACAGACUAAGACGCUGCUCCUUUGAAACUAAGAAGACCCAGUUGAUCGGCUCAGACUUACGCAAGGAUGGCAGAAAGAGAAAGCAACUCAGCUGUCAGGUAAGAAAGGUAGGAGACCACAAACACAAAUCCCGGCUCGAUGAUUCUGACGUGCUUGGUGAAAUGAGUGAUGAGUGAGAGCAAGAAUGCAAAGACCACGCCGAUUAAGGUGCCUCCCAGGCUCACCACGAAGAAAGACACUGCAGGGCGAGAAAAGGAAAAAGGGGGGGUUUGGAGCUUAUGCACGCAACAACCUGAAGGCUUUACUUCCCUGCUGAACGGUGAUGAGAUGAAGCUGCGCGUUCACCUUGCUGCUAUCCAAAAAGAACUAAUCUGAGGUAAAGGAACUAGCGAUCACUCCCCAAACAGACGAUGGUUUUCAAUUGUCCGCUGAAACACUGCAGAAGGUCCAACAACCACUGUGUCAUCGGAUUAUCCAAAAUAAAGAAAGAAAUACUGCAGAAA